UUCGCUUUAUUCUACUCUCUGCUUUUUUUUUCCUUAUGUU
rnacentral:sRNA from 1 species